GGUGCUUCUAGAGCCAUUGCAGAUGUGGCUGCUGUGCUACAUGUGCAUCAGUUAGUGGCAGAGAGGAGAGAGGCUAUGUCUAGCCUCAGUUAAUGAUUAGUAGCCUAACACU
rnacentral:snoRNA from 1 species